rnacentral:rRNA from 1 species
UGUAAGCGUAUACCAAAGUUGUUGCAGUUAAAACGCUCGUAGUCGGAAUUUGGCAGUUCCGGAUGUGUGCACGUCGUGUGCGCACUUCGCGGGGAUUGCUUUUGUGGUCUUGCGUAGGAUGAGGCACUUUUAUUAGUGAACUUCCUCACGCAACCACUUUUUACUGUGAGAAAAUCAGAGUGCUCAAAGCAGGCAUUUGCCGUGAAUGUAUUAGCAUGGAAUAAUAGAAUAGGACUUGGUUCUAUUUUGUUGGUUUGUUGGGACUGAGUAAUGAUUAAGAGGGACAGUUGGGGGCAUUUGUAUUUCGGUGCUAGAGGUGAAAUUCUUAGAUUACCGAAAGACAAACUGCUGCGAAAGCGUCUGCCAAGGAUGUUUUCAUUGA